rnacentral:rRNA from 1 species
AUGCAUGAAAGGCUAUCACAUGAGCAUUUUCUCAGGCUGGUGGUGACACUUUGGGCGACAUGGAAAGCUCGUCGGAAGGCUAUCUAUGAGGGAGUGUUUCAAAGCCCUCAAGGAACGGAUCAAUUCAUACAAGCCUAUAUAGCAGACUUGCAGGUCAUCGCAGGUGUGGGGAGUAGCCGGGUAACACAGCCACCAGCAAGAUCGCGUAAUUGGAUAGCACCGCCGGACCAUUAUGCUAAAAUCAACGUUGAUGCGGCGGUCAGAGCCAACCAAGGAUGGGGAGUGGCCGCUGCAAUAUGUCGUGACCAAGCAGGCUCUUUUCAGGGUGCUUCGGCUCUUGUUACCAGAGGAAUCAAGGACCCAUCAACGCUUGAAGCAAUGGCGGUCAGGGAGGCCUUGGCGCUUGCUGAAGAUCUCAACAUUCGCAGGGUUCAUGUUGCAUCUGAAUGCAAAGUCGUGGUGGAUGACAUCAAGAGCAAAACGGCUGCUACAUAUGAAGCUAUUUUGCAUGAAAUCAUAGAACACAGUUCAUCGUUUAUUUCUUGUAAUUGUAUGCAUGAGUUUAGGAGCUCAAAUGUCGAGGCUCACAAUCUAGCGAAGCAUAGUUUAAAGUUGGGGGUUGGCCGCCAUGUGUGGUUGGGCAACCCGGGUAAUCUUUCUUUUGUACCUUUGAACAUUGGCACAAGUUAA